UACGGAGGGUGCGAGCGUUGUCCGGAAUCAUUGGGCGUAAAGGGCGCGUAGGUGGCCCGGUCAGUUCGUGGUGAAAGCGCGGGGCUCAACCCUGCGUCGGCCAUGAAUACUGCCGCGGCUGGAGCACUGUAGAGGCAGGCGGAAUUCCGGGUGUAGGCGGUGGAAUGCGUAGAGAUCCGGAAGAACACCGGUGGCGAAGGCGGCCUGCUGGGCAGUUGCUGGACACUGAGGCGCGACAGCGUGGGGAGCAAACAGGG
rnacentral:rRNA from 1 species